CUUUCUUUGCUGGCGACCGGCGCACGGGUGAGUAACACGUAUCCAACCUGCCCUUUACUCGGGGAUAGCCUUUCGAAAGAAAGAUUAAUACCCGAUAGUAUAAUGAUUCCGCAUGGCUUCAUUAUUAAAGGAUUCCGGUAAAGGAUGGGGAUGCGUUCCAUUAGGUUGUUGGUGAGGUAACGGCUCACCAAGCCUUCGAUGGAUAGGGGUUCUGAGAGGAAGGUCCCCCACAUUGGAACUGAGACACGGUCCAA
rnacentral:rRNA from 1 species